rnacentral:rRNA from 1 species
UACGAAGGGUGCAAGCGUUACUCGGAAUUACUGGGCGUAAAGGGCGCGUAGGCGGCUCGUUAAGUCUGUCGUGAAAUCCCCGGGCUCAACCUGGGAAUGGCGAUGGAUACUGGCGAGCUAGAGUGUGUCAGAGGAUGGUGGAAUUCCCGGUGUAGCGGUGAAAUGCGUAGAGAUCGGGAGGAACAUCAGUGGCGAAGGCGGCCAUCUGGGACAACACUGACGCUGAAGCACGAAAGCGUGGGGAGCAAACAGG